AAAGAAACGUACUCAUCUACUUGGAUGGCCUGAGGGUGAUCUAGUGUCACAUGGGGACUAAUUGGUCCGAGUGGCCAUUGAUCUUGGAUCCUAAAGGUCUGGUAAUUGGAGAGGUCAGAAGAAUUCAGCCUUUAUUUACACACAUUGACCCUUACUGACCCAUGGGUGCUACAUGAAGAUAACCCAAGCGGUUUUCUUCUAGCAAGAAAUGAAGAGCCUGUAAUAGUGAGAUGAAAGUUCUUACCGUUGAAUGACAGAUGAAGCCGAACACCACCAUGACAAUAGCAGGAAUUAGGAUG